rnacentral:rRNA from 1 species
GAGUUUGAUCCUGGCUCAGAGUGAACGCUGGCGGCAGGCCUAACACAUGCAAGUCGAACGGCAGCACAGUCCCGCAAGGGAUGGGUGGCGAGUGGCGGACGGGUGAGGAAUACAUCGGAAUCUACCUUGUCGUGGGGGAUAACGUAGGGAAACUUACGCUAAUACCGCAUACGACCUACGGGUGAAAGCGGCGGACCGCAAGGCGUCGCGCGAUUGGAUGAGCCGAUGUCCGAUUAGCUAGUUGGCGGGGUAAGAGCCCACCAAGGCGACGAUCGGUAGCUGGUCUGAGAGGAUGAUCAGCCACACUGGAACUGAGACACGGUCCAGACUCCUACGGGAGGCAGCAGUGGGGAAUAUUGGACAAUGGGCGCAAGCCUGAUCCAGCCAUGCCGCGUGUGUGAAGAAGGCC